GUAGACAUAGUUUAAAAAAAAUUCUAGCUUGUGAUUCUAGAGACGGGGUUUAAUUAACCCCUGUUUACC
rnacentral:tRNA from 1 species